CCGAGUUAGGGUCUUCUUAGGCCCGACCUCUCAACCCUAUGUUUAUCAAACCGAUGUUGCUUCGGCGGGCCCGUCUCACGACCGCCGGGGGACUGUAAGAUGUCCUCUGGCCCGCGCCUGCCCGUGGCCAAACUUGACAAACUCUAAUUUAAGCGUGUCACUGUCUGAGUACCAUUUUUAAUUAAAGUA
rnacentral:misc_RNA from 1 species